CAAUAAUAAUAAUAAUAGUCACUGUUAAGGUAGUUCUAGACAGUGCAGCAACAAUAAUAAUAAUAAUAAUAGUCACUGUUAAGGUAGUUCUAGACAGUACAGCAACAAUAAUAAUAAUAAUAAUAAUAGUCACUGUUUGUUAAGGUAGUUCUAGACAGUGCAGCAACAAUAAUAAUAAUAAUAAGUCACUGUUUGUUAAGGUAGUUAUAGACAGUGCAGCAACAAUAAUAAUAAUAAUAAUAGUCACUGUUUGUUAAGGUAGUUCUAGACAGUGCAGCAACAAUAAUAAUAAUAAUAGUCACUGUUUGUUAAGGUAGUUCUAGACAGUGCAGCAACAAUAAUAAUAAUAAUAGUCACUGUUUGUUAAGGUAGUUAUAGACAGUGCAGCAACAAUAAUAAUAAUAAUAAGUCACUGUUUGUUAAGGUAGUUAUAGACAGUGCAGCAACAAUAAUAAUAAUAAUAGUCACUGUUUGUUAAGGUAGUUCUAGACAGUGCAGCAACAAUAAUAAUAAUAAUAAUAAUAGUCACUGUUUGUUAAGGUAGUUCUAGACAGUACAGCAACAAUAAUAAUAAUAAUAAGUCACUGUUUGUUAAGGUAGUUCUAGACAGUGCAGCAACAAUAAUAAUAAUAAUAAUAAUAAUAAGUCACUGUUUGUUAAGGUAGUUCUAGACAGUACAGCAACAAUAACAAUAAUAAUAAUAAUAGUCACUGUUUGUUAAGGUAGUUCUAGACAGUGCAGCAAUAAUAAUAAUAAUAAUAAUAAUAGUCACUGUUUGUUAAGGUAGUUCUAGACAGUGCAGCAAUAAUAAUAAUAAUAAUAGUCACUGUUUGUUAAGGUAGUUCUAGACAGUGCAGCAAUAAUAAUAAUAAUAAUAAUAAUAGUCACUGUUUGUUAAGGUAGUUCUAGACAGUGCAGCAAUAAUAAUAAUAAUAAUAGUCACUGUUUGUUAAGGUAGUUCUAGACAGUGCAGCAAUAAUAAUAAUAAUAAUAGUCACUGUUUGUUAAGGUAGUUCUAGACAGUGCAGCAAUAAUAAUAAUAAUAAUAAUAAUAGUCACUGUUUGUUAAGGUAGUUCUAGACAGUGCAGCAAUAAUAAUAAUAAUAAUAGUCACUGUUUGUUAAGGUAGUUCUAGACAGUGCAGCAAUAAUAAUAAUAAUAAUAGUCACUGUUUGUUAAGGUAGUUCUAGACAGUGCAGCAAUAAUAAUAAUAAUAAUAGUCACUGUUUGUUAAGGUAGUUCUAGACAGUGCAGCAAUAAUAAUAAUAAUAAUAAUAAUAGUCACUGUUUGUUAAGGUAGUUCUAGACAGUGCAGCAAUAAUAAUAAUAAUAAUAGUCACUGUUUGUUAAGGUAGUUCUAGACAGUGCAGCAAUAAUAAUAAUAAUAAUAGUCACUGUUUGUUAAGGUAGUUCUAGACAGUGCAGCAAUAAUAAUAAUAAUAAUAAUAAUAGUCACUGUUUGUUAAGGUAGUUCUAGACAGUGCAGCAAUAAUAAUAAUAAUAAUAGUCACUGUUUGUUAAGGUAGUUCUAGACAGUGCAGCAAUAAUAAUAAUAAUAAUAGUCACUGUUUGUUAAGGUAGUUCUAGACAGUGCAGCAAUAAUAAUAAUAAUAAUAAUAAUAGUCACUGUUUGUUAAGGUAGUUCUAGACAGUGCAGCAAUAAUAAUAAUAAUAAUAGUCACUGUUUGUUAAGGUAGUUCUAGACAGUGCAGCAAUAAUAAUAAUAAUAAUAGUCACUGUUUGUUAAGGUAGUUCUAGACAGUGCAGCAAUAAUAAUAAUAAUAAUAAUAAUAGUCACUGUUUGUUAAGGUAGUUCUAGACAGUGCAGCAAUAAUAAUAAUAAUAAUAGUCACUGUUUGUUAAGGUAGUUCUAGACAGUGCAGCAACAAUAAUAAUAAUAAUAAGUCACUGUUUGUUAAGGUAGUUCUAGACAGUACAGCAACAAUAAUAAUAAUAAUAAGUCACUGUUUGUUAAGGUAGUUCUAGACAGUGCAGCAACAAUAACAAUAAUAAUAAGUCACUGUUUGUUAAGGUAGUUCUAGACAGUGCAGCAAUAAUAAUAAUAAUAAUAGUCACUGUUUGUUAAGGUAGUUCUAGACAGUGCAGCAACAAUAAUAAUAAUAAUAAGUCACUGUUUGUUAAGGUAGUUCUAGACAGUACAGCAACAAUAAUAAUAAUAAUAAGUCACUGUUUGUUAAGGUAGUUCUAGACAGUGCAGCAACAAUAACAAUAAUAAUAAGUCACUGUUUGUUAAGGUAGUUAUAGACAGUACAGCAACAAUAAUAAUAAUAAUAAGUCACUGUUUGUUAAGGUAGUUCUAGACAGUACAGCAACAAUAAUAAUAAUAAUAAGUCACUGUUUGUUAAGGUAGUUCUAGACAGUGCAGCAACAAUAACAAUAAUAAUAAGUCACUGUUUGUUAAGGUAGUUAUAGACAGUACAGCAACAAUAAUAAUAAUAAUAAGUCACUGUUUGUUAAGGUAGUUCUAGACAGUGCAGCAACAAUAAUAAUAAUAAUAAGUCACUGUUUGUUAAGGUAGUUCUAGACAGUGCAGCAACAAUAAUAAUAAUAAUAAUAAUAGUCACUGUUUGUUAAGGUAGUUAUAGACAGUGCAGCAACAAUAAUAAUAAUAAUAAGUCACUGUUUGUUAAGGUAGUUCUAGACAGUGCAGCAACAAUAAUAAUAAUAAUAAUAAGUCACUGUUUGUUAAGGUAGUUAUAGACAGUGCAGCAACAAUAAUAAUAAUAAGUCACUGUUUGUUAAGGUAGUUCUAGACAGUACAGCAACAAUAAUAAUA